rnacentral:rRNA from 1 species
UGCAUGCAAGUCGAGCGGGGUGCCCUUCGGGGUGCUUACGCGGCGGACGGGUGCGGAACACGUGGGCAACCUGCCCUGAGGUGGGGGAUAGCCGGUGGAAACACCGGGUAAUUCCGCAUAAGGUCACAGACCGGAGGGUGUGUGAGGAAAGGGUCUUCGGACUCGCCUUAGGAGGGGCCUGCGGCCGAUUAGCUAGACGGUGGGGUAACGGCCUACCGUGGCGAUGAUCGGUAGCUGGUCUGAGAGGACGGCCAGCCACACGGGGACUGAGACACGGCCCCGACUCCUACGGGAGGCAGCAGCAAGGAAUCUUCCGCAAUGGGCGAAAGCCUGACGGAGCAACGCCGCGUGUGGGAUGACGCCUUUCGGGGUGUAAACCACUUUUCUCAGGGAAGAAGCAAUGACGGUACCUGAGGAAUAAGGACCGGCUAACUACGUGCCAGCAGCCGCGGUAAUACGUAGGGUCCGAGCGUUGUCCGGAGUUACUGGGCGUAAAGCGCGCGCAGGCGGCGGUAUAAGCAUGGCGUGAAAGCCCCAGGCUCAACCUGGGAGGGUCGUCGUGGACUGUACCGCUUGAGGGCGAUAGGGGCUGGUGGAAUGCCUGGUGUAGUGGUGAAAUGCGUAGAGAUCAGGCGGAACAUCCGUGGCGAAGGCGGCCAGCUGGGUCGUCCCUGACGCUGAGGCGCGAAGGCGUGGGGAGCGAACGGGAUUAGAUACCCCGGUAGUCCACGCAGUAAACGAUGCAGACUAGGCGUGGGGGGAGUUGACCCCCUCCGUGCCGGAGCUAACGCGGGAAGUCUGCCGCCUGGGGAGUACGGCCGCAAGGCUAAAACUCAAAGGAAUUGACGGGGGCCCGCACAAGCGGCGGAGCGUGCGGUUUAAUUCGACCGACGCGUAAAACCUUACCAGGGUUUGACAUGCUCCUGCAGAGCCGGGAAACCGGUUGGCCUUCGAGGGUGGAGCACAGGUGCUGCAUGGCUGUCGUCAGCUCGUGCCGUGAGGUGUUGGGUUAAGUCCCGCAACGAGCGCAACCCCUGUGAGUAGUUAGAUGAUCUACUCAGACUGCCGGUCGCAAACCGGAGGAAGGUGGGGAUGAUGUCAGGUCCGCAUGGCCCUUACAUCCUGGGCGACACGCACGCUACAAUGGCCGGGACAAUGGGUAGCCAAGCCGUAAGGCGGAGCGAAUCCCAAGAAACCCGGUCUCAGUUCGGAUCGUGGGCUGCAACCCGCCCACGUGAAGCCGGAGUCGCUAGUAGCCGCAGGUCAGCAGUACUGCGGUGAAUAUGUUCCCGGGCCUUGUACACACCGCCCGUCACGUCACGAAAGCCGGUAACGCCUGAAGCCGGUGGGCUAACCCCUUGGGGAGGCAGCCGUCGAGGGCGGGAUUGGUGAUUGGGACGAAGUCGUAACAAGGUA